UGCAAGUCGAACGAACUCUGGUAUUGAUUGGUGCUUGCAUCAUGAUUUACAUUUGAGUGAGUGGCGAACUGGUGAGUAACACGUGGGAAACCUGCCCAGAAGCGGGGGAUAACACCUGGAAACAGAUGCUAAUACCGCAUAACAACUUGGACCGCACGGUCCGAGUUUGAAAGAUGGCUUCGGCUAUCACUUUUGGAUGGUCCCGCGGCGUAUUAGCUAGAUGGUGGGGUAACGGCUCACCAUGGCAAUGAUACGUAGCCGACCUGAGAGGGUAAUCGGCCACAUUGGGACUGAGACACGGCCCAAACUCCUACGGGAGGCAGCAGUAGGGAAUCUUCCACAAUGGACGAAAGUCUGAUGGAGCAACGCCGCGUGAGUGAAGAAGGGUUUCGGCUCGUAAAACUCUGUUGUUAAAGAAGAACAUAUCUCAGAGUAACUGUUCAGGUAUUGACGGUAUUUAACCAGAAAGCCACGGCUAACUACGUGCCAGCAGCCGCGGUAAUACGUAGGUGGCAAGCGUUGUCCGGAUUUAUUGGGCGUAAAGCGAGCGCAGGCGGUUUUUUAAGUCUGAUGUGAAAGCCUUCGGCUCAACCGAAGAAGUGCAUCGGAAACUGGGAGACUUGAGUGCAGAAUAGGACAGUGGAACUCCAUGUGUAGCGGUGAAAUGCGUAGAUUUAUGGAAGAACACCAGUGGCGAAGGCGGCUGUCUGGUCUGUAACUGACGCUAAGGCUCGAAAGUAUGGGUAGCAGACAGGAUUAGAUACCCUGGUAGUCCAUACCGUACACGAUGAAUGCUAAGUGUUGGAGGGUUUCCGCCCUUCAGUGCUGCAGCUAACGCAUUAAGCAUUCCGCCGGGGGAGUACGGCCGCAGGGCUGAAACUCACAGGAAUUGACGGGGGCCCGCACAAGCGGUGG
rnacentral:rRNA from 1 species